AAUAUUGGGCAAUGGAGGCAACUCUGACCCAGCCAUGCCGCGUGAAGGAAGAAGGCCUUAUGGGUUGUAAACUUCUUUUAUUUGGGAAGAAACCUUUCUACGUGUAGAAAGCUGACGGUACCAAACGAAUAAGGACCGGCUAACUCCGUGGCCAGCAGCCGCGGUAAUACGGAGGGUCCAAGCGUUAUCCGGAAUCAUUGGGUUUAAAGGGUGCGCAGGCGGUUUAAUAAGUCAGUGGUGAAAUCUCGGGGCUCAACUCCGAAACUGCCAUUGAUACUGUUAAACUUGAGUUCAGUUGGAGUAGGCGGAAUGUGUAGUGUAGCGGUGAAAUGCUUAGAUAUUACACAGAACACCGAUAGCGAAGGCAGCUUACUAAACUGAUACUGACGCUGAGGCACGAAAGCGUGGGGAGCGAACAGGAUUAGAUACCCUGGUAGUCCACGCCGUAAACUAUGAUUACUCGAUAUUGGCGAUAUACUGUCAGUGUCUAAGCGAAAGUGAUAAGUAAUCCACCUGGGGAGUACGGUCGCAAGA
rnacentral:rRNA from 1 species